rnacentral:rRNA from 1 species
CCUACGGGAGGCAGCAGUGAGGAAUAUUGGUCAAUGGGCGGAAGCCUGAACCAGCCAAGUAGCGUGCAGGAUGACGGCCCUACGGGUUGUAAACUGCUUUUAUACGGGAAUAACGCGCCUUACGUGUAGGGCUUUGCAUGUACCGUAUGAAUAAGGACCGGCUAAUUCCGUGCCAGCAGCCGCGGGAAUACGGAAGGUCCGGGCGUUAUCCGGAUUUAUUGGGUUUAAGGGGAGCGUAGGCCGCAUGUCAAGCGUGCUGUGAAAUGUCCGGGCUCAACCCGGGCCUUGCAGCGCGAACUGGCGUGAGUGAGUCCGCGGAAAGCAGGCGGAAUUCGUCGUGUAGCGGUGAAAUGCUUAGAUAUGACGAAGAACCCCGAUUGCGAAGGCAGCUUGCUGCAGCGGAACUGACGCUGAUGCUCGAAAGCGCGGGUAUCGAACAGGAUUAGAUACCCCAGUAGUC